AGGCUGCUGAGAUAUAUAGAUGCUGGCAAAGAGGCAAUCAGGAAUGGGGAUAAGAUUAACUCAGAGCAAGAUCCAGUUUUCUCAAUGCCCUGGAAAAUCUGACAAAGUAUAUGAAUACCUGGAUUCAGAAAACAUCAACUAAGGGAACUCCAGGUGUGAAAAUUCCUUUCCUCUAAUCAUGCAGAUCAGCAGCAAUUCGUCAAUGAUUAUAAAGUUGCCUGCCACUCAGAUUUGAUAAGUCCUUUUCGACUCCAAAACCAUCUGUGUCUAUGCAGCUAUCCAACAUGGCAUGCCUGUUUCAACUCCAUGGAACCAAAAUGCACUUGCUCUGGGUACACUACGUUGCUCCCCACUUUCUUCCAACCUUUUGUGUGCUGUC